AUGAACGCUGGCGGCGUGCCUCAUACAUGCAAGUCGAGCGAACAGACGAGGAGCUUGCUCCUCUGACGUUAGCGGCGGACGGGUGAGUAACCCGUGGAUAACCUACCUAUAAGACUGGGAUAACUUCGGGAAACCGGAGCUAAUACCAGAUAAUAUAUUGAACCGCCUGGUUCAAUAGUGAAAGACGGUUUUGCUGUCACUUAUAGAUGGAUCCGCGCCGCAUUAGCUAGUUGGUAAGGUAACGGCUUACCAAGGCGACGAUGCGUAGCCGACCUGAGAGGGGGAUCGGCCACACUGGAACUGAGACACGGUCCAGACUCCUACGGGAGGCAGCAGUAGGGAAUCUUCCGCAAUGGGCGAAAGCCUGACGGAGCAACGCCGCGGGAGUGAUGAAGGUCUUCGGAUCGUAAAACUCUGUUAUUAGGGAAGAACAAAUGUGUAAGUAACUAUGCACGUCUUGACGGUACCUAAUCAGAAAGCCACGGCUAACUACGU
rnacentral:rRNA from 1 species